GACGAACGCUGGCGGCGUGCUUAACACAUGCAAGUCGAACGAUGAAGCCGGAGCUUGCUCCGGUGGAUUAGUGGCGAACGGGUGAGUAACACGUGAGCAAUCUGCCCUUGACUCUGGGAUAACUGCGGGAAACUGUAGCUAAUACCGGAUACGACGCCUUGGGGCAUCCCAGGGUGUGGAAAGAAUUUCGGUCAAGGAUGAGCUCGCGGCCUAUCAGCUAGUUGGUGAGGUAAUGGCUCACCAAGGCGACGAUGGGUAGCCGGCCUGAGAGGGUGACCGGCCACACUGGAACUGAGACACGGUCCAGACUCCUACGGGAGGCAGCAGUGGGGAAUAUUGCACAAUGGGCGAAAGCCUGAUGCAGCAACGCCGCGUGAGGGAUGAAGGCCUUCGGGUUGUAAACCUCUUUUAGCAGGGAAGAAGCGAAAGUGACGGUACCUGCAGAAAAAGCACCGGCUAACUACGUGCCAGCCGCCGCUGUAA
rnacentral:rRNA from 1 species